GUUGGUAAUAGUAGGAUCUUAGUGGAACUAAUGGUUAAGAAUUCAAAAGGUCAUAACCUUUGAAAUCUGUUAGCCAACGGUCAUCUUUUGGUAGGAUAAAGAGGUUGAGAAGUGUGAGAGUCGUAAGACGGGGGGCCAGACUAUGAGAGUCGUAAGCCGAGAUAAGCUUGGUGCUACUUCUUUAUUUUCUUUGUUUUUAUUAUUUUCUUAUGAAGAAUUGUGAUUGAGAGAAGUAUUGUUGAAAUUGUGAUUAGAAUAUUGUGGAAUAUGACUUUGGACUGACCGUUUUGAAGAAAAUCUAUGACCUUGAGAAUUGAGAUUAUUAAAUUGUGUUGUAUUAAGUAAAGAUAUUAAAUUUUGUGUGAUGAAUUGAGAAAUUGAAUAUAACAAGUAAGCUGGAGAUCAGUAAUUAAAUAUAUAUAAACCACAAAGAGAGUAAGUGAGAGAUGAACUGAUAAGAAUA
rnacentral:lncRNA from 1 species